rnacentral:rRNA from 1 species
AAUCUUCUGCAAUGGACGAAAGCCUGACGGAGCAACGCCGCGUGAGUGAUGAAUGUCUUCGGAUUGUAAAACUCUGUUGUCAGGGAAGAAACCCUGGGAUGGACUCUCACCGUGACGGUACCUGACGAGAAAGCCCCCGCAAACUACGUCCCCGCAGCCGCGGUUAUACGUAGGGGGCAAGCGUUGUCCGGAAUAAUUGGGCGUAAAGCGCGCGCAGGCGGCUUCUUAAGUCUGAUGUGAAAUCCCACGGCUCAACCGUGGACGGUCAUUGGAAGCUGGGGAGCUUGAGUGCAGGAGAGGAGGGUGGAAUUCCUGGUGUAGCGGUGACAUGCGUAGAGGUCAGGAGGAACACCGAUGGCGAAGGCAGCUCUCUGGCCUGUAACUGACGCUGAGGCGCGAAGGCGUGGGGGGCAAACA